CCACGAAUAUAUGUCCUAGUUGUUUUUCUUCCCUGUUUUUUUUUCCCUGCAAACAUUUUCAUUGUUUCAUAUUAAACAUUUUGAAGGAUAGACAACUACACACAUUUGUUUGUAUGUGUGCACGUGUGGGUGGGUGUGUGUGAGAGAGAGCAAGAGAGAAUAAGGACACUUAAGUCCGUUAUAGUUUCUCUCUCCUACAAGAUAAGUAUGAUAUAUUGGAAUAUAUUCGAUUAAGUCUCAUGUGUAUGUGGUC
rnacentral:lncRNA from 1 species